rnacentral:rRNA from 1 species
AUUGAACGCUGGUGGUAUGCUUAACACAUGCAAGUCGAACGGCAGCAUGAUCUAGUUUACUAGGUUGAUGGCGAGUGGCGGACGGGUGAGUAACGCGUAGGAAUCUACCAUAUUGAGGGGGAUAACUUUAGGAAACUGAAGCUAAUACCGCAUAAUACCUUCGGGUCAAAGGUGCCAACUUGUUGGUGUCGCAAUAUGAUGAGCCUGCGUUGGAUUAGCUAGUUGGUAAGGUAAAGGCUUACCAAGGCGACGAUCCAUAGCUGUUCUGAGAGGGAGAUCAGCCACACUGGGACUGAGACACGGCCCAG